CUGAAACAGAGGAAUACAUUCUCCAGAGGUGAGGCCAUCUCCAUUAGCUCCUCCCCAGGGAAAAGUGACUGCUUGUUCCCUGUGCGUGCGCCUCAAGAGCAGCUCAGAGUGCCCAGGCAGCUUCUGAUGCUACUUCUCUCUGCCUGAUAGAGGUUUAUCCAUCCUUGUGCACAUCUGGUCUGUAUUUAUGCACUGCAGAACAUGGAAAAGUAAAAGCUAAACACAUGGAUUUAACCUAUUUCACCUAAAGAGGUGAAAAGUGGGUGUUUAGAUAUUACUGGUCUGUAGCUGGCAGUUGCUUACAUACUGUGUAAAUCUCCAGGCAUCACAGCGACCAAGUGUGGACCCACAGUGGUGGUGGGGCCAGCAAACAGAUACCAGUAGGCUCUUAGUGCCUGAAUGGCCCAGGAGAACAUCUUGGGCACAGCUUCUCUGGUGCAGCACUGGUUCCAGGCUGUUCUGAACACGGUGCAGUGGUCUGGCACAGAAGGAUCACCUUGGUAUAUUAUGUUUUGGUUAUGCACCACUUGUUGUAUUGUAGGCUUGCACUCAGGUUAGUGAAGCAAACCCAGAGCUGGAGGGCAGGUGGCAGAAGCUUUUUGCCAUCAGCCAGAGCAGGGUAGUGCCCAUGGGGCCAGGCAGGGAGCAGAGAAGAGAUGUUCACAGCCAUGAAACAUAGAAUUAUAGAAUUGUUUGAGUUGGAAGAGACCUUUAAGUUCAUCUAAUCCAAUUCCCCUGCACUGAGCAGGGAUACCUACAGCUCAUUCAGGUGCUCAGAGCCCCACUAAGCCUGACCUUGAGUUUUUUCAGGGAUAGGGCAUCCACCUCCUCUCUGGGCAACUUGUGCCUGUCCAUCACCACCCUUAUUGUAAAAACUUCGUCUUUAUGUCUAGUCAAUCCUCUACUGGGGUCUGCAGAUGGCAUCUGGGGGCACACCUUCCCUGUCUCUCCCACACACAUCAACUUUUUGAUUUCUGCAGGUCCCAGCUAACCAUUAGCGCCAUAACUCACAUCGUACUGGGAGAUGCUGUGGUGACAACCAGUAUUAUAAGCAAUUCAGAACUGACUUUGAAGUGUACCAUUUAUGCUGUGAAGCAAACCAGACCUGCACCUGCUUACACCACUGUAUUUAUCCCUUUUUCUAAGUAGCUGUUUCAUUAGCAAUUGUUCAUUCUACUUUAAAAGGUGUAAACAGACAGAUGGCUUCACCACAUAAAUCAUUUUCACAUGAAGUUAGAUGUGCUUUCUGCAGAAGUGAAAUUUAUGCCUUCUUUUGCUUACUCCUAAUAACAGGAAUGUGUAUGCAAAUGUCCUAUCUCCCAAUAGCUACAAUAAAUUACUCUGGGGCAGUUGAACCCCUUCCAGCUUGAUACAGAAAUUCAAAGGGAAGGCAAAUAUAUCUUUUUUUUUCCCUGCAAAAGGUGAAGCAGGUGCUCUCAACAGCUUGAGUAAAGGUUUUAACCCCAUGUUAACAGAUUUGAUGAUACUGUGAUUUUGAUUCUAUAACACCUCCUUGCACAUAGAUUGCUAUUCAAUAAGCAGGCAUGUAAAAUUUACAUAAACAUAUAAAUGACACAGGUACAAAUAAGCCCCCAAAUCUAGACUGGUUAUUAAAGAUGUUAUUGCCCUCUAUAUCAGAAACAACCCCAUCAGCAGCCCUUGGUAAAACUUCAGCUGAGAUUUGUUGCCUCUGAUUGUUAUGGUCAGUCCCAGUCAAUCCCUUUCCCUAUAUAAACCCCAGGCCUGAAUGGGUCCUGUUGCUGCUGGGAUGAGGUGGUUGAGGUGUUCUUCUAAAAAAGCUAGCUCUUGUCACCUGGGUGAAUGUGGACCUUGUGCAGCUGUUUUGAGUGUCUUCUGGGAGAAGCAAUGUUCAAAUGCAUGCCUUCAUCUGUGUUGAUUGACAGCUGUGCCCUACACACAGUACUAGAGAAGGACAUGCUUGCCUCACCAUUAUUAGGACAUGCCACUUCCAGAUAAUACGAAUGAAGAUUGGGAGGAUGUUUCCUAUCACUAAGUUUGCUAAACCAAAGGCCUCUGAAAUCCAUUCCAUUCUCUCAAGCAUGGGAAAUGGAGCUUGAGUGAAGGUCGUAGCUGGCUGUCAGAAGCACAUAUUAAGUACUUAUCCUCCCCAACCAAGUUUCUGGAAUCUGGACUUCUUGCAUGAAACCCAUGUCUGCAUUUGACAGUUACUGAGAUUUUCAUAAAAUUAACUGGACCUGAUAGAAGAGAUGCUGCCAAAAAUGAAGGAUCUGUUCAUGUCACUGAAAUAUCUGGUUGGAUUUGGAGAGAAGAUUUCAUUUCUUCUAAAAUUUAGCCCUUUUCUUUUUGCCCUCAGGAAUUUGCUCCAGAGGAGUGGUGUUCUAGGACUGGGAAAUGCUCCAGAGGACCUGCCUAGACUUUCACAGGAAGUCUGCUUGUAAGCAACCUCAUACUGCCUCAGUGAACUGGGAACCCCUUCUUCCCACCACCACCAAAAAAAAAAAAAGCAGACACUAAUAUAUAGAAAGUAUUAAGCUAAGGGAAAUAAUUUUCCAAAUGUUACUUAAAGAAUAAUGCAAAUCAUCUGAAAAAAAAAAAAAAAAAAAGAGGAUAUUUGCUAACUUUUUAAUGUGCAUUUCAACUAUAAAAAUAUCUUCUAAGAUAAGAGUUGCAAUUUGUUGUGAAGGAAUAAAAUAUUUUUUUUUAAAUGUAUUAAGACAAAUUUUGUUCUGAUUCUCUAGCAGGCAAGUAAGAGUGCUGUUGUAUUAGAUAUGUAACUUUGAAAUCACUGCAAGUUAACUAUUAAGGCAGAAUACUUUGAUUUGGGAAGGAGCAGUUAGUUUACAUGUGUUGGAAAAGUGAAGUUAAACAUCUGAUAAUCAUAAAUGUCCUUUUUAUUUUUUUGUAACCACAUUCUAUUGCCAUAAAUACUUAGGGAAAAAAAACUGCUCCCCAAACCAUAAAAUAUAACAAGAACAAGCUACAGAAUAUUUAUGCAUUUUUUUUCCUCUUAUUGGCUUUAGGGAGGUCUACAUUUUGGUCUGUGAAUGUCUGUCUCAGCUGGAUGGCUUCAGAAAGUUUUGUAUUGCCCUGUCAGUUUCCAAAGGGAGAUGAAAACCAUAUUGUCAUGCCUAUGUUUGAAAAUGGAGACCAAGUUAAGGUUUGGCAUCACCUGCUUCUGAAAAAACAUCUGAAGUCUGUCUGUGAAGCAGAUUGUGCAGUCUGUGUCUUGCCUUUCCCCUAAAAUUCUGGUAGGUUGUGAGGCUUUGAAAACAUAGCAGCUCCUAGUGAGACCUUGCAGCUUUCUGCAGAGCAUUCCCUGGAAGAUGCUGACUUGUCUUAAGGGGAACCUGAGCACCAGGAGAAGCUGGAGCCCCAUGAACCCAUGAUCCUGCAAGGACUUCAGUGCACACCUUGCAAUGCUGUAGACAAAAAUUAGUGCUGGUGCUUUGACUUAUGAGGUUUGGACUUUUCAACUAUAAAGAUGUUCAUUAAAACCUUUGUGUAUGUUUGG